UAACUGUUCCGCCGCUAUGGCGGUCGUCUUAUUCCGAACCGAUGUUUUGCCUUUGUACGGCGAAGGAGAAGGAGGACGCAAUAAGAAUUCCUCUCCGUUACCCACCCACUUCGUCUUUUUUUCUCCACACAGCAAUCCCCAAGAUGAUGAGGAGGGUAAAAUCAUUAUAAUCAGAUAAAUGUGUUUGGAAAGCUAAGCUGAAUAAUAAAGCUCCACGGGAGCUAAGGAAUACAAUAACUGUGCAGGUAGGUAUCACAAUUUGGUUAAUUUGGACUUGAAUUGUGGAGAGAUCGAUAGGAGCUCGAAUGAAACUGAUGACAAUGAAUCCCCGAAUACAAAAUUUGUUUUUUUUAUGAAGAUACCUGAUGCUGCAAAAGCCAAACUCAUGGAAGCAAUUGAGAAAAUUAUGGAAGCAAUUGAGAAAAUUACGAGGAUGAUGAAAAGUUGUUUCAAAGUACACGUCCCAAGCUGGGUAUGUAGGAAAAUCUAAUUCAUUUACAGAUAAGCUGAGAGUUUUCUGUCAUGCUUUCCAUAAUGAUCUUCCUAAUGGUGGUGGUAGAUCGUUUCUCUUUGAAUGUUUGGCCUUAUUUUCUAUGGGUAAAAUUUUUUUUUUUUGGGACUAGUUUUUUUGUCCCUUUUUGCUUCUUCACAGAAAAAAAAAAUCUGAGCAAGCUAUCAUAUGGUGCAUGAAUUCUAGCUAAGAUAGCUUGGCUAUAUUUUCUAUAUGUCGAGUGGAAUUGUGUUUACUCCCAUAAAAUAAUGUAAAAAACGAAAAAGAAGAAAAAUGGCUAAUCCAAAACUAAUGUGGUUCCCUUCACGGUGGGUUUUGAUGUAAUGAUGUUUACGUAGUCAGCAUAUAUAGUGUCAGUCAGUAUAUAGUGUCCUCCCCUACAAUGUGGGUUGAUGUUACAGGGAAUAUCCCCCACUACGUAUGUUAAUCUCCAAUCUGGUGUGGAGAAAUUUGUUUGUGAUUUUAUUUGUACAAUAAUUGAUUGACUGGGCUUUCUAA